rnacentral:sRNA from 1 species
UCACUAAAAGCUCCUGCCGCUCACAACC